rnacentral:rRNA from 1 species
UACGGGGGGGGCAAGCGUUGUUCGGAAUCACUGGGCGUAAAGGGCGCGUAGGCGGCCGAUCAAGUCGGGGGUGAAAGCCUGUGGCUCAACCACAGAAUUGCCUUCGAUACUGUUUGGCUUGAGACCGGAAGAGGUAAGUGGAACUGCGAGUGUAGAGGUGAAAUUCGUAGAUAUUCGCAAGAACACCAGUGGCGAAGGCGGCUUACUGGUCCGGUUCUGACGCUGAGGCGCGAAAGCGUGGGGAGCAAACAGG